UCCUUGGUGGUCCAGUGGUUAGGACUAUGAGCUUUCACUGUCAAGGGCCUGAGUUCAAUCCUAGUCAAGGAA
rnacentral:tRNA from 1 species